UCAUUUUUAAUACACAUCCCGUUUAUUUUGUAGUUAAUUGUUAGAUAAGUAAGUAAUUUCGUCAAGUUUUCGUUACAGAGUAAGAUUUCGUUAUCAUCGUUACCAUAUACAGUAUUUAUAUUGGUUCAAGAGCGCAGUUUGAUAACUCAUUCAAGGGGGUUCUGUUCCUGCAGUCUUCCAGCAAUACUGGCGCGUAUGACGAUGCGGACACGAACUGCACACUACAGUAUACCGCCGCCUACUGUACUGUAGUAAAAUAACGUGUAGGAUUGAAUACUGUGGCAAACGCAGUAAAAAAAGCCAUUUAAUUCAUUGUAAAAACAAUGGGCAUGCCAGUUUAAGUAACUUGUGGGCUAAAUCACCAAAAUAAGUUUGUAGAUGUGGUUCAAUUAUUUUUUAAAUGUGUAGCAUAAUGGACCAGCCUGAAUGUAUGUAGCCUAUAAAUAUAUUGUUUAGACUUUAUUUUUAAACCUUUAUUUGGUGGUAUAUGGUUAAACCUUUUUAAUGGUAGCAAUAGGCUUUAUACCCAGCUGCACUACUUCCUGAACUUCAGCCAGCUCCUUGUUUCCUGUCUGCCAUUAUUGGUCAAACUGAUUAAUCCAGGUGUGCCUGACCUCAGUAGUCACAACAACAAUAAUCAGACAGACCUGGAUUUAUCAGUUUGUCCAAUAAUGGCAGACAGGAAACAAUGGGCUGGCUGAAGUUCAGGAAGUAGUGCAGCUGGGCAUAAAGCCUAUUAAAUAAAAAUCUUAAAUUGAAUCAAAUCUCUUUUAAUAAUACAUAAAAGCUCUGGGAGGGUUGGGGGUACAUCUGGGUAACAUUUUAACAUUUAAUAUAUUUUGAUGUGUGUGUAUAUAUAUUAACUUUCUUUAUUUUGUUUUCUCAGCCUUUAAACAUCUAAACAUGUCCUCCAAAAAGGAAAAAGGGAAAAACACUGGAAAACAAUUUCAGCCUAAGGUUUGAGAUGGCUAACUGUGUACAUUGCCUUUGUGUACUGCAAGCUGAACUUACAGAUUUAUAUGGACUUUACUUACAGGUUUCCUGUGCUGUUUUGCUCCAUUUUACAGAACAAAAUAAGGCUGAGGUAGCACCAUCCUUGUGGUUAGAGUGAAAGAAUGUGGGUAUUGAGACCAAAAUAAAUAAUGUGCCAUUCUGGACAAACAGCUGUGGACAAUACAAGCAGUCAGAGUAGCCCAUUUUCUCACACAGAUGAGGAGCAACCAGUAAGAAAAAGCAAAAAGAUGUUUUGAUGUUGCCUGAGGCACCUUAUUCACAUCAGUCAAUUUCUUCCAAUAAUGAAUCAAGAAAUCCUGGAGUGGAGAAUCAUUCUGAAAGUAGACCAAAUACAGGACAACACCACAGCAGUGGUUGGAAAAAUGCAGCAGACAAUGAGCAAACCAAGCUGACUUUCAAAAGAUGAUUCGUUAUCUGUUUCUUCAAAGGGGAGGCAGUUUGGGAGAUGGGAAAUAGGAGGAUGCUUCAGCUACACAGGGCGAAUUUCAGCAGCUCAGUUUCACACUUGCAACUAACAAUGAAUUAUAGUUAGAAGACAACGGAAAUAUUUGACAUGGGAGUCCAGCAGACAGCCAGAGACACGCACACACACGGAGCUGAAGCGCGUUUGACUGACGCGUACGGGAGAUCAGGCACGCGCACGGGAGCUCGCUCGCGCACGCACACACAAACACGGAGCACAGGAAAAUUACACCUGUUCAAUUAAAAUAAAAGAACUUUGUGGUAAACAAUG